UGGGGAAUAUUGCACAAUGGGGGAAACCCUGAUGCAGCAAUGCCGCGUGUGUGAAGAAGGCCUGCGGGUUGUAAAGCACUUUCAGUAGAGAGGAAAAGCUUAAGGAUAAUACCCUUGAGUCUUGACGUAACCUACAGAAGAAGCACCGGCUAACUCCGUGCCAGCAGCCGCGGUAAUACGGAGGGUGCAAGCGUUAAUCGGAAUCACUGGGCGUAAAGCGCGCGUAGGUGGUUUGCUAAGUCGGAUGUGAAAGCCCCGGGCUCAACCUGGGAAUUGCAUUCGAUACUGGCUGACUAGAGUGUAGUAGAGGGAAGUGGAAUUCCGGGUGUAGCGGUGAAAUGCGUAGAUAUCCGGAGGAACAUCAGUGGCGAAGGCGACUUCCUGGACUAACACUGACACUGAGGUGCGAAAGCGUGGGUAGCAAACAGGAUUAGAUACCCCCGUAGUCC
rnacentral:rRNA from 1 species